AAGGAGGUGACAGAAUGGUUAUGUAGCUGGCUUGAAACCAGAGUAUGGGGGUUCAAUUCCCUCCUUUCUCG
rnacentral:tRNA from 1 species